rnacentral:tRNA from 5 species
AGCUAGCUUGCUUUUAUAGAGAAGUGCUAGCUUUUAGCUUGCACUAUUACUGCGAGGCAAACGAGAGGUAAGGCUAGCUUC